GAGGAUUGACAGGCAAUAUAUUAGCAUAAAGACUCGUCUUUAGCGCUAAUUGUUAAAUAUGCUAGUCCUUUCAUGAUUAUGUGAUAGGUGGUGCAUGGCCGUUCUUAGUUCGUGGAGUGAUCUGUCUGCUUAAUUGCGUUUCACUAAGGGCCCAUAAAUUCAAGGUAUGUUAGCAAAUGCUGCUCUAUUGACCCCUAAUAGGCUUAACUGUCUUUAGCGCGUGUCUCUACGAGUUCUUUAAAGCACUGCGCAUGCUGUUGGGUCCUGAAAGCAACGAACGUGACCGCAACGUCUUGUUGCCUCUCUAUAAUAUCUUCUUAUUUUUAAUAAGAGUAUUUACCUGAGGCUAUUUUAAAACUAGACGGACCGCUGUUUCUUUCUUAAACCAGAAGAAGGUUGCGGCAAUAACUCGGCUGUGAUGCCCUAAGAUGUUCCGGAAGGAUUUC
rnacentral:rRNA from 1 species